rnacentral:rRNA from 1 species
UACGGGAGGCAGCAGUGAGGAAUAUUGGUCAAUGGGCGCAAGCCUGAACCAGCCAUGCCGCGUGCAGGAUGACGGUCCUAUGGAUUGUAAACUGCUUUUGUACGGGAAGAAACCCUCCUACGUGUAGGAGCUUGACGGUACCGUAAGAAUAAGGAUCGGCUAACUCCGUGCCAGCAGCCGCGGUAAUACGGAGGAUCCAAGCGUUAUCCGGAAUCAUUGGGUUUAAAAGGGUCUGUAGGCGGUCUUGUAAGUCAGUGGUGAAAGCCCAUCGCUCAACGGUGGAACGGCCAUUGAUACUGCUGGACUUGAAUUAUUGGGAAGCAACUAGAAUAUGUAGUGUAGCGGUGAAAUGCUUAGAGAUUACAUGGAAAUACCAAUUGCGAAGGCAGGGUUGCUACCAAUGGAUUGACGCUGAUGGACGAAAGCGUGGGUAGCGAACAGGAUUAGGAAUAACCCUCUGG